GAUUCCCCUAGUAACGGCGAGUGAAGCGGGAUGAGCUCAAAUUUGAAAGCUUGCAGCAAUGCACGCGUUGUAAUCUCGAGAAAUGUUUUCCGUGCUGGWCCAUGGACAAGUUCCUUGGAAUAGGAUGUCAUAGAGGGUGAGAACCCCGUCUUUGCCAUGGACGCCCAGUGCUUUGUGAUACAUUUUCGAAGAGUCGAGUUGUUUGGGAAUGCAGCUCAAAAUGGGUGGUAAAUUCCAUCUAAAGCUAAAUAUUGGGGAGAGACCGAUAGCAAACAAGUACCGUGAGGGAAAGAUGAAAAGCACUUUGGAAAGAGAGUUAAACAGUACGUGAAAUUGUCAAAAGGGAAGCGCUUCAAGUCAGACGUGUAGUGCGGUACUCAGCCUUACGGCGUUUUUACCGUUUUACUAGCCAGCAUCGAUUUUGAGCAACGGAUAAGGGUGUGGGGAACGUGGCACCUCGGGUGUGUUAUAGMCUUACACUGGAUACGUCGCUUGGGAUCGAGGAACGCAGUGCACCCGCAAGGGCAGGUCUUCGGACACUCU
rnacentral:rRNA from 1 species